rnacentral:rRNA from 1 species
AAGAAGCCACCAGGCGCCCAAUACCCAUUCCGACACGGGAGGUAGGGCAAUAAUGCUGAUACAGGGCUCUUUUGGGUCUUGUAUUGCAAAUGAGUNCAUUUAAAUCCCUUAACGAGGACCAUUGGAAGGGCAAGUCUGGUGCCAGCAGCCGCGGUAAUUCCAGCUCCAAUAGCGUAUAUUAAAGUUGUUGUGGUUAAAAAGCUCGUAGUUGAACCUUGGGCCUGGCUGNCCGGUCCGCCUCACCGCGUGUACUGGUCCGGCCGGGCCUUUCCCUCUGUGGAACCCCAUGCCCUUCACUGGGUGUGGCGGGGAAACAGGACUUUUACUGUGAAAAAAUUAGAGUGCUCCAGGCAGGCCUAUGCUCGAAUACAUUAGCAUGGAAUAAUAGAAUAGGACGUGUGGUUCUAUUUUGUUGGUUUCUAGGACCGCCGUAAUGAUUAAUAGGGACAGUCGGGGGCAUCAGUAUUCAAUUGUCAGAGGUGAAAUUCUUGGAUUUAUUGAAGACUAACUACUGCGAAAGCAUUUGCCAAGGAUGUUUUCAUUAAUCAGGAACGAAAGUUAGGGGAUCGAAGACGAUCAGAUACCGUCGUAGUCUUAACCAUAAACUAUGCCGACUAGGGAUCGGACGGUGUUAUUUUUUGACCCGUUCGGCACCUUACGAGAAAUCAAAGUGCUUGGGCUCCAGGGGGAGUAUGGUCGCAAGGCUGAAACUUAAAGAAAUUGACGGAAGGGCACCACCAGGGGUGGAGCCUGCGGCUUAAUUUGACUCAACACGGGGAAACUCACCAGGUCCAGACACAAUGAGGAUUGACAGAUUGAGAGCUCUUUCUUGAUUUUGUGGGUGGUGGUGCAUGGCCGUUCUUAGUUGGUGGAGUGAUUUGUCUGCUUAAUUGCGAUAACGAACGAGACCU